CACGUAGGGCGCAAGCGUUGUCCGGAAUUAUUGGGCGUAAAGAGCUCGUAGGCGGUCUGUUACGUCUGCUGUGGAAACUCGGGGCUUAACCCCGAGCUUGCAGUGGAUACGGGCAGACUAGAGGUAGGUAGGGGAGAAUGGAAUUCCCGGUGUAGCGGUGAAAUGCGCAGAUAUCGGGAGGAACACCGGUGGCGAAGGCGGUUCUCUGGGCCUUACCUGACGCUGAGGAGCGAAAGCGUGGGGAGCGAACAGG
rnacentral:rRNA from 1 species